CAGCUCGGCCAAUGCCAACUCGUUGCUGGCGCGUGUCCGGAGACCAUCCAGCUCCUUCCUGUGGGCCUGCAGCACCAGCUCCGUCAGCCGCGUGAAAGACUGGGAAACCAAGGGCGGCGGGUGAAAAACUGGGGACUCCGCAAAUUCAUAUGGCUUGCCCAAGGCUCCAGAGCCAGGACUAGAACCCCAGUCUCACGAUUCCUCCUGCUCCUGAGAUUUCAGGAAGGACAAUGGUCACAGGGUCUUCAUCCAGGGCUGGGAAAGGCAAGGUCUCCUGGGAGUGUUUGCUCACCAACCCCGAGAGCUUCGGCCCUUCCCAUCUGGCCCUCACUUCGCCUUCCCCUCUGAGGCACCCUUCCCCCACCCCCAACGGU